GAUGGGUUGUGGAGAUACAUCUUUUAGGUUUACAUGCUAGUUCUGCUUCGGGGUAGUCAUGAUUGAGAAAGUUGUUCUGUGUUAGUAACUGAACCUAGC